rnacentral:rRNA from 1 species
AACGUAGGGGACAAGCGUUAUCCGGAUUUACUGGGCGUAAAGCGCACGUAGGCGGCUUGACAAGUUGGACGUGAAAGCUCCUGGCUUAACUGGGAGAGGCCGUUCAAAACUGUUAAGCUAGAGUCUGGAAGAGGAGAGCGGAAUUCCCGGUGUAGUGGUGGAAUGCGUAGAGAUCGGGAGGAACACCAGUGGCGAAAGCGGCUCUCUGGUCCAAAACUGACGCUGAGGUGCGAAAGCGUGGGGAGCGAACGGG